AUCACAACACUUCUUUUAGCGGAGGCGUUUGGAUGGUUCGUGUGUAGCGUAAUUUGAACGUAUUCAGAGGAGCGAGUGCGGAAACGUAUAUGAAUGAAGAAGAAAAAAAAUGGUCUCGUAAUGGCAGACUUGAAAGCUCCAGAACCCCUGGAAAUCGAAAACAGGAUAAUUGAGCUGUGCCAUCAGUUUCCCCAUGGUAUUACAGACCAAGUGAUUCAGAACGACAUGCCUCACAUGGAAGCUCAGCAACGGGCUAUGGCCAUUAACCGACUGCUAUCUAUGGGUCAACUAGAUCUUUUGAGAAGCAGUGGUGGACUUCUCUACAGAAUCAAGGAAUCUCAGAAUGCUGCCAAAAUGAAGGGAUCUGACAAUCAGGAGAAACUGGUAUAUCAGAUUAUAGAGGAUGCAGGAAAUAAAGGCAUUUGGAGCAGAGAUAUCAGAUAUAAAAGCAAUCUUCCAUUAACUGAGAUAAACAAGAUCCUGAAGAAUUUGGAAAGCAAGAAACUCAUUAAAGCUGUAAAGUCUGUAGCAGCAUCCAAGAAGAAAGUAUACAUGUUGUACAAUCUCCAGCCUGAUCGUUCUGUGACAGGAGGAGCUUGGUACAGUGACCAAGAUUUUGAAUCUGAAUUUGUAGAGGUGCUAAAUCAACAAUGUUUUAAAUUUCUUCAGACUAAGGCCGAAGCAGCUCGAGAAACCAAACAGAAUCCUAUGAUACAAAGAAAUAGCUCAUUUGCAUCUUCUCAUGAAGUGUGGAAAUAUAUCAGUGAGUUAGGUAUCAGUAAGGUAGAAUUGUCAAUGGAGGACAUAGAAACCAUUUUAAACACCUUAAUAUAUGAUGGAAAAGUAGAAAUGACCAUUAUUGCUGCAAAGGAAGCAUCAGCAGGAAGUGUAGACGGGCACAUGAAACUGUACAGAGCCAUCAGUCCAGUCAUACAACCCACUGGGUUGAUACGGAUACCUUGUGGACUUUGUCCAGGGGCUCUAUGGUAAAGGGGAGCCGAAUGUCAGACCCAGCGUGAGACCUACCUGCAUGUGGAAGAUGCACGGUACCCGAAUCUCCGUACAGCGCUCCAAGCAGCCCUGUGGGAGCCAAGCACCGGCGACGUGAAUGAACUGCUGCCGGCGCUUACACAGUGACGAACGGCCCAUAUGACUAAUUACCAUGCCAACGGAGAGGACGGGAUAGACCGGCAUUAUGCAAGGUUUUUGAUGAUUGCCACGAAGGUGGAGAAGUAUCUCCUGCAAACUGUGUUUACAUGAUGGAAUGGCUAGAAUUUUAGGAGUCAAAUGAAGAAAUUGGCUCUGAAACUUUAAACCUGAUGAAUCAAACUUUUUCUUAGAAAACUGCUUGGGCAUUGGGUUGAUACUUUUGAAAAAAUUGACUGCCCUGCCAUGUGCUGAAUGGGAUGCUGUAGGAUUGAAUCUAUAUUCCUGCUUCCAAGUAAAAUACAUAGUAAGAUACAUAGGGAUACAAGGCAAUAGAGCUUUAAGAGACAAGUUAAAUUUUGGGUAAGAGUAUUUAUUUGUUUGCUGUGCUGAAUAAAAUGAACCUGUGAAUGGCAAUUGAAUCCUG